GAUGAACGCUAGCUACAGGCUUAACACAUGCAAGUCGAGGGGUAACGAGAGGAAAGCUUGCUUUCCUUGUCGACGACCGGCGCACGGGUGAGUAACGCGUAUCCAACCUGCCCCCAACUAGGGAAUAACCUUGCGAAAGUAAGACUAAUACCCUAUAAUUUCCUCAGAUGACAUCUGACGAGGAAUAAAGAUUUAUCGGUUGUGGAUGGGGAUGCGUCUUAUUAGCUUGUUGGCGGGGUAACGGCCCACCAAGGCAACGAGCAGUAGGGGUUCUGAGAGGAAGGUCCCCCACAUUGGAACUGAGACACGGUCCAAACUCCUACGGGAGGCAGCAGUGAGGAAUAUUGGUCAAUGGGCGGAAGCCUGAACCAGCCAAGUAGCGUGCAGGAUGACGGCCCUAUGGGUUGUAAACUGCUUUUAUACAGGAAUAAAGUUAGCCACGUGUGGUUAUUUGUAGGUACUGUAUGAAUAAGGACCGGCUAAUUCCGUGCCAGCCGCCGCCGUAA
rnacentral:rRNA from 1 species